AGGAAAGGGGACCAAAGGGAAGUGAGGUCCUAGAGCGUUGACACUGAGGGAAGUCCUAUCUGUCAGUCCUGACCACUUAAGCCAGGACCCCAUGCUUCCUUUACUCUGUCUCCUCAUCUCUGUACCUCCCCUGACACCCCAGUCCUGGUUGGCCCUUUCUCCUGCCUUGCCCUGAAGUCUUACCUUCUCCCAUUGCAUUCAAGGCCUAUAGCACAAAGUGCAUCUCAGAGAUGUGCUAGUGGCUUAUCCUGGGCUUGGCCUGCAACAUGGGAGGCUUGGGACGGGGGUCUUGGACCUGCUCAUGACCCCUGAGCAGCCUGCAAUGAGGUGUGUGUGCCCAGCCACUUGGCUGGGCAGGGAGAUAGAUAGCUUCUUCCUGCAAGCUUCCAGAAGCACGCUGUGUUCUUUUUGCCAAAUAUGUUCAGUUAUAGUCAGCUGAUAGAUUGAUGUGGCUGAAAACAGGACCGAGUGAACUGAUGCUCCCACCUGGGUGCCUCCAUGGCUUCCUUGAGCAACUGUCCCUAAGAUGCUUUCAAGUGUAUGAGACAUGAGGAGGCUGGGCCACUCUGGUUAUGCACAGUCAGGCAAACUGUCCUUGUAGACGAGUCCCCGACUCUGGGAUACAUGAGGAUCAAUGCCCGUUUUCUCCCCGUGUGCUUUCCUGCAGAAUCCUUGCCUUUCCGUUGUUAGGUUGGGUUUUCUAUAUGAAUUAUCAUCUGGAAUUCUGUAGCACACCUCAUAGGUAUGGAAUUUUUUUAAAUUAAAUAUUCAGAAUAAACUUUUUUGAUC
rnacentral:lncRNA from 1 species